rnacentral:rRNA from 1 species
UACGAAGGGGGGCUAGCGUUGCUCGGAAUCACUGGGCGUAAAGCGCACGUAGGCGGCUUUUUAAGUCAGGGGUGAAAUCCUGGAGCUCAACUCCAGAACUGCCUUUGAUACUGGGAAGCUUGAGUCCGGAAGAGGUGAGUGGAACUCCGAGUGUAGAGGUGAAAUUCGUAGAUAUUCGGAAGAACACCAGUGGCGAAGGCGGCUCACUGGUCCGGUACUGACGCUGAGGUGCGAAAAGCGUGGGGAGCGAACAGG